GACGAACGCUGGCGGCGCGCUUAACACAUGCAAGUCGAGCGAGAACCUGGGCUUCGGCCCUGGGGACAGCGGCGAACGGGUGAGUAACACGUGGGUAAUCUGCCCUCGACAUCGGGAUAGCCCGGGGAAACCCGGAUUAAUACCGAAUAGCCUCCGGAGCCUUCGGGCGCCGGAGAAAAGGUAGCUUAGGCCUCUGGUCGAGGAUGAGCCCGCGGCGGAUUAGCUUGUUGGCGGGGUAACGGCCCACCAAGGCGACGAUCCGUAGCUGGUCUGAGAGGACGAUCAGCCACACUGGGACUGAGACACGGCCCAGACUCCUACGGGAGGCAGCAGUGGGGAAUUUUGACAAUGGGGGCAACCCUGAUCCAGCCAUUCCGCGUGAGUGAAGAAGGCC
rnacentral:rRNA from 1 species